rnacentral:lncRNA from 1 species
CAGAACAUAUCUCAGUAGGAUAGGAGGGAGUACUGCCUUCAACUCCCCUGUAUAUUUUAUAGCUCUUUUGUCCAGAAUGACUUUAUUUUAAGAGGUUGGAGGAUGAGAGUGGAUAUCAGUAGGUCUCCAGCUGUUUUAUCCAAGGUCUCAGGCCCAUUCUGAUGAUCACUUGUUAUAAAAGAGGAUGUUGGUGGGCAUCAUUAGAAUGGCCCCCCACAUAUCAAUAGCCAAUUAGGAAACAUAACUCAGUUUGAUCCACUGCAUACAGGGAAAGAGUAAAUGGCUUUAUAUGAAGAAAUCAGUUAAAGAGAAUUAUUUCUCCCUCUUAAGAAAUUAUAAAUGGUUCUAUCAAGUACCAUUAUCUGUUGUAACGGAAAUAAAAUCUGACAUUUGUCUCUAGAGCCUUUUACAUCAAAGAAUGAUUUUUACAAUUAUAUUCUCCAAACAUUUAGUUCACUAAUGGCAGAACAGGAGGCGUAAGGGCAGCAGUCAGCAAAAAAUGAGACUCAUUCUCAUGCAUGCGAAAAUUAAAGGGAUACUAGAAAAAUCAGGAACUAGGAAAAAAUGUACACUAAUCUUCAAGACUGGAUGUAGACAUUUUUAACAUAAAUGCUCACUUUCCUGUAGUUAAUAAGACUAGCUGACUGCACUUGUAAGAAAAGUAAACUUCUGGAAAUUAUUGAAUUUACAAGUCAUAGGAACUUUAAAAUGUUUUAGUGUAGGUAUGGCACAAUACUUUGGCAAAAUUUAGUGUUUUGUUUUGUUUUGUUUUGUUUUGUUUUGUUUUUCACACCUUCAUUUGGACUAUGUGAAACUGGCCAUGGUUCAAAAAAGGAUCCUGGACCAAGUGAAUGAUCACUUGCUUUCACCCUGGUGGAUUAAUCUGAAUAUGUUCAAACAAUCUGCCUGCCUCCUGAUUCAUGAAUACACUCUUAAAACAUAUUAAAAUCUUUUCCAUGUCUUUAGACCUUUGUUUUUCUCCUCAGGCUUUUCUAUAAAUACUUAUUUUUUUUUUCUAUAUUUUCUUACAAUACGGACAUUACAAUUUCAGUAUAUUUUUUCUAUACUAGAACUAAGCACUUGUAGACACUCCCAUUGGAUCUACAAGCUUCUGCGAGUGUCAUCUUUGCAGUUACUUGGGACAAACCCAAAGCUUCUGUACCUUAAAUGAAUUUGCAGAUACUGGGGGUUUUGCUAGUGCACCUCCAGGAAUAAGCACAAGAGGUCAGCAGACCUUGUAAUGAAUGCUCAUCAUUGGAUAACAUUUCAUUUUCCCUUCUCUCUAAUUAACACUAAAAUAGUACUCAGAACAGGUCGGUUUUACAUAAAAAAGAAUUCCUGAUAGAGAUUGGCAUUUAUAAUUAAUAGCUAGCUAGCUGAAGUGCUAGCUCUUUACUUUUAAGUGCUCCAUUAUUAGAAGUUCUCCUGAAAUUCAUUGUAAUAACACGAUCACAAAGAGACCA